rnacentral:rRNA from 1 species
UACGAAGGGUGCAAGCGUUACUCGGAAUUACUGGGCGUAAAGCGCGUGUAGGCUGCUCCGCAAGUCGGAUGUGAAAGCCCUGGGCUCAACCCAGGAAGUGCAUUCGAAACUGCAGAGCUGGAGUCCUGGAGAGGAAGGCGGAAUUCUCGGUGUAGAGGUGAAAUUCGUAGAUAUCGAGAGGAACACCGGUGGCGAAGGCGGCCUUCUGGACAGUGACUGACGCUGAGACGCGAAAGCGUGGGGAGCAAACAGG